CCUACGGGUGGCAGCAGUGAGGAAUAUUGGUCAAUGGGCGCGAGCCUGAACCAGCCAAGUAGCGUGAAGGAUGACUGCCCUACGGGUUGUAAACUUCUUUUAUAAAGGAAUAAAGUGAGGCACGUGUGCCUUUUUGUAUGUACUUUAUGAAUAAGGAUCGGCUAACUCCGUGCCAGCAGCCGCGGUAAUACGGAGGAUCCGAGCGUUAUCCGGAUUUAUUGGGUUUAAAGGGAGCGUAGAUGGGUUGUUAAGUCAGUUGUGGAGUUUGGGGCUCAACCGGAAAAUUGCAAUUGAUACUGGGAGUCUGGAGUACAGGUGAGGUAGGCGGAAGUGGGGGGGGAGGGGUGAGAGGGUGAGAGAGGACGAAG
rnacentral:rRNA from 1 species